rnacentral:sRNA from 1 species
ACUUCCGGCGUGCCUACGCCUCCUCUUGUGCUGUCCUGUUAAUGGCGGGCAGUAGGCGCUGAGGGGAUUGCAGAUAACCGCUUCCCGCACGGGGAAAGUCUACCCUGCCUGCCACUUUCUGCUCGCCGUCAGCGCCGGAGCUCGCCAGCAUGUCUGUGGUACCGCCCAAUCGCUCGCAGACCGGCUGGCCCCGGGGGGUCACUCAGUUCGGCAACAAGUACAUCCAGCAGACGAAGCCCCUCACCCUGGAGCGCACCAUCAACCUGUACCCUCUUACCAAUUAUACUUUUGGUACAAAAGAGCCCCUCUACGAGAAGGACAGCUCUGUUGCAGCCAGAUUUCAGCGCAUGAGGGAAGAAUUUGAUAAAAUUGGAAUGAGGAGGACUGUAGAAGGGGUUCUGAUUGUACAUGAGCACCGGCUACCCCAUGUGUUACUGCUGCAGCUGGGAACAACUUUCUUCAAACUGUAAGUAGUGUUGGAAAUUAACAGCAAGACAGUUUUUAGUAGGAUUGCUGUUUAUGCAGCUCUGGAAUACAAUUUUAGCCCUCGGUCAUUUAUUUCAACAAACACUGCUGUUAAUGAUGUCUUUAGAAAGAGAAAAUCAUG